rnacentral:rRNA from 1 species
CCUUAGAUGAAAGAUGGUUCUGCUAUCGCUUUUAGAUGGACCCGCGGCGUAUUAACUAGUUGGUGGGGUAACGGCCUACCAAGGUGAUGAUACGUAGCCGAACUGAGAGGUUGAUCGGCCACAUUGGGACUGAGACACGGCCCAAACUCCUACGGGAGGCAGCAGUAGGGAAUCUUCCACAAUGGACGCAAGUCUGAUGGAGCAACGCCGCGUGAGUGAAGAAGGUCUUCGGAUCGUAAAACUCUGUUGUUAGAGAAGAACACGAGUGAGAGUAACUGUUCAUUCGAUGACGGUAUCUAACCAGCAAGUCACGGCUAACUACGUGCCAGCAGCCGCGGUAAUACGUAGGUGGCAAGCGUUGUCCGGAUUUAUUGGGCGUAAAGGGAACG